GACGAGGGAUCCUAGCGUUGUUCGGAAUCAUUGGGCGUAAAGCGGGUGUAGGUGGCUUUGUAAGUCGAGUGUGAAAGCCUGGGGCUCAACCCCAGAAGUGCAUUCGAUACUGCGAAGCUUGAGUGGUAGAGAGAUUAGUAGAAUUGUUGGUGUAGUGGUGAAAUACGUAGAUAUCAACAGGAAUACCGGCGGCGAAGGCGGCUAAUUGGCUACACACUGACACUCAGACCCGAAAGUGCGGGGAUCAAACAGG
rnacentral:rRNA from 1 species